GACGAACGCUGGCGGCGUGCUUAACACAUGCAAGUCGAACGGGCCCGCUCUCUUUUUUGGGGGUGGGUUGAGUGGCGAACGGGUGAGUAUCACGUGAGUAACCUGCCCCCUGCUCCUGGAUAACUGCUUGAAAGGGCGGCUAAUACGGGGUGUGCCGGCUGGUCCGCAUGGGCCUGGUCGGGAUAGUUUCAUCUUCGGGUGUUUCGGUGGGGGAUGGGCUCGCGGCCUAUCAGCUUGUUGGUGGGGUGAUGGCCCACCAAGGCGUUGACGGGUAGCCGGCCUGAGAGGGUGGGCGGCCACACUGGGACUGAGACACGGCCCAGACUCCUGCGGGAGGCAGCAGUGGGGGGUAUUGCACAAUGGGCGGAAGCCUGAUGCAGCGACGUCGCGUGAGGGAUGGAGGCCUUCGGGUUGUGAACCUCUUUCUCCGGUGGUGAAGGCCCUGUCCGUUGCGGCGGGGUUGACGGUAGCCGGGUAUGAAGCGCCGGCUAACUACGUG
rnacentral:rRNA from 1 species